GUCUCAUUCCCUGGAUGUUUCUGGUUCAGGAACAAGAAGGAAGAGAGGGGUAAAAGGAUCACCUAUC
rnacentral:lncRNA from 1 species